rnacentral:rRNA from 1 species
UACAGAGGGUGCGAGCGUUGUUCGGAAUUAUUGGGCGUAAAGGGCGCGUAGGCGGUGCGGUAAGUCACCUGUGAAAUCUCCUGGCUCAACUGGGAGCUUGCAGGCGAAACUGCCGUGCUGGAGUGUGGGAGAGGUGAGUGGAAUUCCCGGUGUAGCGGUGAAAUUCGUAGAUAUUCGGAAGAACACCAGUGGCGAAGGCAGCUUGCUAAGCAGAUAUUGACGCUGAGGCGCGAAAGCGUGGGGAUCAAACAGG